rnacentral:lncRNA from 1 species
UCUUUUCCUAUCAUGUUUGCUCACAGAAUGAAACCUACUCUCAAAAUCCCUUAGCUCUGUUCUGAGAUCCCUGAUAAACUUCGAUGGUGUUGGAAAUCCAUCAAUGUCAGCCUCCAAGUUUUCUACUAAUGCUUCUAGACCAUGUGGCCUCUUAGAAACAUCCAACUGAUAUACAGCAACAACAUGCAGGAAGACAAAGGCAUCUCCAGUGGGACUGAGAGCAAUCUUAACGCAGUGAACAGCUUGAGAUUCCAGAUUGCGGUGUUGGCAUUGGUAUCCCUAUUCUUCCCUUCAGAAGAAAAUAUUCUUAAAAUGGGACUACAGAGAGGAGACUUGCUAGAGCCAAGUUUCCAGAAGCGAAACCUGGCCCAACAGUGCUGGUUUUGACCAGUGCUUCAUCAAGAGCAGAUCAGAGGAGCAAGUGGAAGAAUGAAAUAAAAAUAAAGGAAGACAUCUGAUUAACGGGGAGAAGGGAGACGUUUCUUUAGGAAAAUGAUUAAAGUCUUAGCAUAUAGUCUAGACAAAUAUGAAAGAGAAGAAGUUCUUGGAGGCCAAAUUCGACAUAUCUGAAACUGGACAGGAGAAGCACAUCUAUCUAGCUGCUCCUGUCUGAUGAAGGGAUUGCUAUACAACUGCUCUAAGAUCAGAAAAGAUAAUUGAUCUCAGGGAGGAGAUGAGUGUGAUUCUCUAGAGGGUUCCUGAAAUUAGGAAACUAUUGAGGAAUAUCUCUAUAAAACUGCAGAUAGAUAUUCCCUAAUAAGAACACAUGGGUAAGCACCCCUUGAGGACUGAGACAGCUACGCACAAUAUUUGGACAAAUGUGAAUGAGGAAGCCUGAGAAGCCAGGAUAAAAUACUGAAGGCACUGAGUCGCAAAUUGGAAAAUUGUACAGUUAUCAUAGAUGGGGAAGCAGGAAUUGCCUGUGCCUGACGAAACCUGCCAGGAAAAUUUAUGGAAUUAUGAUCCCCCCCAGGGGAACUCACAGGGCAAAUAAGAUGUACUACUAGAGAGCCAGGCAAGAUAAAAAUAAAUUGAGGUCAGUCCUGAGUUGGAUAUUGAUCUGAUGAGAUGAUGCCUCCUGAGUGGUAUUAUACAACUCAAGCAGGUGAAGAUAAACAAGCUUUGUUUGAAAAUGGCAUGCUUUGAAAACUGUUCAUUCCUUGACUUGGCAUCAGACACUCUGGAGAAACCCAAAAGAAAAAAAAUCUAGAGGAAUAAGUUAGAAAGACAAAUGUCUGGGCCAGAAAAGCAAUGUGAAAGCAAACAGAAGGAAAGCACCAUUCCAGCAAGCAGUGUUCAUACUAUUCUCAAUAGGGAAUGAUAAGGUCAAUUAAGAAACAGGCCAGACUGCUGAAAUCUCAGCUAAGAUUCAGAUGGGAAAAGAAGGACACAGAAUAGUAAAGGCAGGGCCUUUAAGAAGUAAUUGGGUCAUGAGGGUUCUGCCUUCAUGAAUGGAUUAAUCCAUUCAUGGACUAAUGAAUUAAUUGGUUAAUAGAUGAAUGGGCUGUCAUGGGAGUGGAACUGGUGGCUUUAUAAGAAGAGGAAGGGAGACCUCAGUUAGCACACUCAGCCACCUUGUCAUGGGAUACCCUACACUGCCUUGGGACACUGCAGUAAGUCCCCACCAGCAAGAAGGCCCUCACCAGAUUCAGCCCCUUGAUGUUGAACUUUCCAGCUUCCAGAAUCAUAAGAAUUUUUUCUUUAUAAAUUACUUAGUUUCAGGCAUUAUGUUGCAAGCAACAGAAAAUGGACUAAGACAAUGCAGAAAAUACAUGGAACUGAAGGAAAUGUUAAAGGUCUGGAACUUUCAAAAGCAGAAGAAAAACAGGUUUUCCACGAGCAUAAAACUGAGAUAUGGAAGCGAUUUGUUUGUUUAGUGACUUUCCUGAACUAAUUUGGUAAAGUCUACAUUCUUUAUUGUGUGUGGCUGCUGAAGUCUUUGCUCAAUGAGCUUAGAGAUUAGCUAAUGAUUGCAUAGAGACUUCCUUCAAUGCUUUGAACCAAUAAAUUUCCCAGCCUUUGCAGAGGAACUCUGUGUGCAUAUCAGGACAUGCUUUCAAUGCUCAAGCAGUAGCCUUUACUUCAGACUUCAGCAGAACUUCAAGAUAAGCCAGAGAUGAGAGUUUGGAGUGUUCUCAAGGUUUUUUUCUGGCUGUGUGUGCAGUCCUGGGCAUGUGGACAGCCCUGAACUUAUGAAUGGGCUUCUAAAUUUCCAGGAUGUUGUCAGCGCUUUUCAAAGCUCCUUAUGGACUUUGCUUUUCCUUUUAAGUUUCUUGGUCAGUUUGUUGAUUGCCUAUUAUUGCCACCUCAGGCAGCUGUGAUAGGAAACAAUUGCUGCUGAUUGUUUUUGCUAAAUGUCCUCAAGGAAAAGGUUGUUCACACUAAGUGAGCUCCAGUCAGGUCAUAUAAAGACCUGCUAGUGAGAGUUUCCAAGAAACUGCCAGAGAGGUCAAAUAAUGACAAUUCUCUGAAUUGGUGAUUUUGGAGAGUGCCUGUCUGCUUCCUCCAGUGGCUGCUAGGCUUCUAGUUUUUGCUGUGAUUACAAACUGUUUAUUUUCAAGCCUUCUGGGUAGCUAGGAGAGGGGAAUGGGAAUAGGGCAAGUUAAAAUAUCACAUAGCUUGCUGUUCUUACUGAGUCAGCUCUUUUUCUUGAAUAAACACUCCUUGGAUUGUUAUGAGCCUUUGGUUAAUUUCCAGAGUUCUGAAAAAGUUGAUUUUUACAAUUUGCUAGUGUUCUCAUUGCUUUUAUGGAGAAACAGAUUUUCAGAGGUCCUUAUUCCACCAUUCCCACUGACAUUCCUCUUACAGAGUUGUUUUUCCAGUUCCUGAACCAUGUGGCUAAAUCAUUAGCCAUUGCUCAAGAAUCGAGGUGGAUCCAUUUCUUUUACCAUAUUUCUGUCUGGCAAAGUGGAUAUCAAAUGUGCUAUUAAAGUUUUGCCCAGGAAUGGAUUCUUCAAUAUUUUUCACACUUCAGAGUGAGUCAGCAAUAUUUCCUUCUGGCUCAGGCUAGAAUACUGUAUAGACCAUCUGUAAACCAGACCUAAGUUUUAUCUUCCUUAGUCAAAUAGUCACAGGAAACUUCCAUGGGGCUGUUGGUAUGGAUUGAGCAUAAACAACAAUGCAGCAAGAGUGGUUACCAUGGGAGUCUAAGCCCAUGCAACUUACUUGUGGCUUCAAAAUCUGGUUGAGCCUGAUCUUGGAUAAACCACGUGGAUUGCUGCUGUGUACAUCCAACUUUACAGUUGGUGGGUCAGAUAAUGAUGAGAAGUUAAUGUUGGGUAGGUCAGACACCAAGGUCACUUGAUACCCCUUGGUUGGAUGCUCAGUCUCUAUUAGGGUAUAUUAGUGAGCCAAAAGCUAUGUCUCAAAAUCAGAAUAAUUAUUGACUGAAGAAGGCAAGAAAGCAUUUUAAAUUCUGUGAGUGUGUCCUUGAAUUCUCCUAUUGGAGUUUACCAGAAGUCUCAUUGUGUUUCUAUUUGCUACGGCACCCUGAGUACCAUUGUAACUGCUGGACCAUGUGGCCCAAAUGGCAAAACACUUUGUAUUGCAUCCUGUACUUAUCAUAUAGCUUUCUCUUGCUCUGGGCCCCAAUAAAUAAUGGCAUCCUUAUGUGUUAUUUUAUAAAGGUAACAUGCUGUAUUUUGCCUCUAAAAUUUAAAAAGUCCCAACAAUUAUUGUGGCUCCUUAGUGGUGGGUUGCACGAAGUAUAGAAAUUUGUCUUUCACUUUAAAGGGACUAUGCCACCAUGUCCCAGACCCAUGCAUCCCUGAGAACAUCACUUAAGAGAUACCCGGCUCAGUGGGAUUUAUCUUUCAUCCCCUGACAUGCCUGUGUCUUACUUAGAUUAUUCCAGAGUAGAAAGUACUUUUUAUUUUCCAAUUUCAGGCAAGACAUCAUCAAUAUAGGGACCAACGUGGCACUCUAGAAUGUCUGGAUGAUCAAGUUCCCUCAGGCUAGAUAAUGAGCAGGAGAGUUAAUACAAACCCGAGAGUAUGUACUGCUGUACAGACUGCACAUCUGUACCAAUGCAUGAUCUUUUCUUAACCAUUUAAGAAAUUUAAAUCAAUGAAUUAUUUUAAAAAGGUAACACAGGUGUAUGAUGCAAAAUUUAAAAUGUGCAAAAGCAUUGGCAGAUGAAAAUGGGUUUCUCUGCUACUCUACCCCCUCAUCACUCAGUUCCCCUUUCUAGGGGUAACCAGUAUUUUUAAUUUUUUGUCUAUCUAUCCAUAAACAAUGCCUUAAAGAAAAGAAAAAUACAUACACACAAAUACAUAGUUAUAUAUGUGUAUAUAAACAUAACUGUCUAUAUAUACAAACAGACACAUACACACAUAUAUAUAUGACACUACAGCUACUAGUUCUGUAAUAUUUGCUGAACUGUUUGCCUCUCUUUCCAAUAAAGAUACUUUAUCACAAGGUUAAUAAGAAUUUCAACACAGUAAAUGUUUAUGUUAGACCAAUAAAACACAUUGCUGGGUAUCUUUCAUUAAGCUUUCUGGAUCUAUUCUCCAUGUUUUCUACCUUCCUCUGUGUGAGGCUGAGAGGCUGACCCAUAUGGUCUAUACCAGAGGUUGACAAACUUCGGUCUGCGGGUCAGAUCUGAUCCAUGGUGUCAAAUCCAGUUACAUCCAUUUAAGUAUCAUCUAUGGCUGUUUUCAUGCUACAUCUGCAGAUUUUAGUAUUUGUGACAGAGACCAUAUGGCCUAUAAGCUUAAACUAUUUGUAAUCUGGCCAUUUACAGAAAAGGUUUGCCAGCCCCUGGUCUAUAUCAUUGGCUCCCUUGCCCUCUAGGUUCUGGUUAGGUUUAUCACUUUGGAGCAUGGCAGGAGUUUGGAGGGAGAGAGAAAGGUGAGUUGGGGACUUUAUUCCAGUUGCCUUCUUGUGUGGUUGUCACAGGAUGGCUCCAUUUCUGGAUUGUAAAUCUCAGCUUCUCUCAGAAGCCUCUUUCCAGUCAGCCCUCUCUGCCUUGGGGUUCUGGUAAUCUCACCCCAACCUACCCCUUCAGGCCCAGGGAUAUGCCGUUUUGCUGUCACUGGUCUGGGGCCCUGCACUGUCCUCUGUGGUAGCCUUGCCCAUGCCUAAACAAAUAGCCCUUUAUUAAGCUAUUCUUAAUUUCUCUUUUAAGAAUACUGGGUGUUCUUUCUGGGACUCUGAUACAGCAGGUUACAAUUUUAUGGAUAUAUUGUCCCCUGAAUUUUAUGAAAAAAGGGAAAAUACUGAAAAUAAUUUCACAAAAACGGUAACAGUGGUUAUCUGUGCAUAGUGAGAUAUCAAUGACUUUUAUUAUAUUCUUCUUGCUUUCUGUGGAAUCUAUAUGAGGAAGAAUUACUAUGUUUGUUCUAAGGAUAAAGCUAAAUAAAGAACAUAAUAAAAGAAAAAAAAUGACUGGA